rnacentral:rRNA from 1 species
GACAGAGGGUGCAAACGUUGUUCGGAAUUACUGGGCGUAAAGCGUGUGUAGGCGGCUUCGCAAGUCGGAUGUGAAAGCCCCGGGCUCAACCCGGGAAGUGCACUCGAUACUGCGGAGCUAGAGUGUCGGAGAGGUUGGUGGAAUUCUCGGUGUAGAGGUGAAAUUCGUAGAUAUCGAGAGGAACACCGGUGGCGAAGGCGGCCAACUGGACAGAUACUGACGCUGAGACACGAAAGCGUGGGGAGCAAACAGG